rnacentral:tRNA from 1 species
UGGGGAGUCGUCUAAUGGUAGGACACUGCCCUUUGGAGGCAGGUACGAUGGUUCGAAUCCAUCCUCCCCAGCCA